UUGUGGAGGAGGACGCCGAAGGUGGGGCUAAUGACUGGGGUGAAGUCGUCACAAGGUAGCCGUACCGGAAGGUGCGGCUGGAUCACCUCCUAACAGGGAGACAACAAAAUGUUUAAUAUUAUUAUUUUGUCACCUUAGGUCGAUCGGUAUCUCACGUUUUUAAUUUUUUAAAAAUUUCAUUUCCUAAGUUUUUUCUAGGUCACACCCAUUAUUUUUCCUGGGCCAUUAGCUCAGGUGGUUAGAGCGCACCCCUGAUAAGGGUGAGGUCCCUGGUUCAAGUCCAGGAUGGCCCAUAUCUCUAUGUUGGGGGUAUAGCUCAGUUGGUAGAGCGCCUGCUUUGCAAGCAGGAUGUCAGCGGUUCGAGUCCGCUUACCUCCACUGAUUACCACCUCUUGCAUAAUCUAUGAGAAGGAAAUGUUUUGAGUAGUGAUCAAAUUCUGAACGAAGCUAGCUUCCUAAUGAAAUCAUUAAGAUGCUGGACUCAUUGAUUAAUUUCAUUGUUUUCAGAGAACCUUGACAACUGCAUAGAUUAUUUUUAAAGACAAUAAGCAUCUUUAAUGAUGCAGAUUUAUUAUUUGUGCGAAUGCAUUAAUAACAAUUCUAUUAAGCUGAUGCUUCAAAUUUUGAAGUUAUUGGUCAAGCUACAA
rnacentral:misc_RNA from 1 species